GUCCGGGUUCGAGAGCAGUGUGAGAGAGACGCCGCGCGAGAGAGACGCUCACUGAGGGAGGAGCACAGCCAGCGAGAGGCGGAGCUCAAGGAGCAGAUCGGAGAGCUGCAGGUGAAGGUGCAGAGGGUCACCAGGGAGAAGAUGCUCUAUGAAAAGGAAUUUAAGGAAGUCCAGGUGAAUUACCGCCGGUUUGUGGACCUCACCGACUCCAGCCUGCACUCCGACUACCUGCUGCGGCUGCGGCGCCUGGGCCGAGAGCCAGGAUUGGCCGAGACGGGGGUCCAGACCGAUGAUGUCGUGGGCGUGGCCCCGCCCCCUGAGUUAACCCCUCCCCCUCGGGGGAAGAGCUUGAGGACAGACUUCGACACGAUUAAUCGCCUCUUACCCGUCGCCUACUUUUAAAUCACCAAAGAUGCUGAAGGCUGCGGUUCACUGGAGAGUUACGCCUGUCGGUUCACUUCGAUCACAACAUGAACUGCAGCUUGGCUAUAAGGAAUACAAUCUUUCUGUGUCUCCAUUGUUGAGAAAAAAACAAUCCUUUUAUACAUGAGAAGAUUAUCAUUUUUCAGAAAUCUAGCCAAGGUUCGUACCCCAUUACAUGUAUUGUGUUUGCUCUACUGUUUUCAUUGUGUAAUGUGCCUUGACAGUGCUCUGUACUGAAAGGCACUAUAGAAGAAUAAAGCUCAUUGACUAUUGAUUAACUGUUCCCAUGGCCUCAGCAGUCUCAGCUCUCACCUCAAGUGACAGGAUUCUCCCCAGGUGUCCGCAGGCAGAACCGCUUACCCGGG
rnacentral:lncRNA from 1 species